rnacentral:rRNA from 1 species
AUCACCAUCGCGUUUUGGGAUUAGUUGCCUAUGGAGCACAUGAAAACUCCACAGUAAAGCAUGCUUAGCUGAGAGUAGUACCAGGAUGGGUGACCUCUUGGGAAGUCUUCACCGAGGUAAGU